rnacentral:rRNA from 1 species
GACGAACGCUGGCGGCGUGCUUAACACAUGCAAGUCGAACGGAAAGGCCCAGCUUGCUGGGUACUCGAGUGGCGAACGGGUGAGUAACACGUGGGUGAUCUGCCCCUGACUUUGGGAUAAGCCUGGGAAACUGGGUCUAAUACCGGAUAUGACCUUUCCUCGCAUGGGGUUUGGUGGAAAGCUUUUGCGGUUGGGGAUGGGCCCGCGGCCUAUCAGCUUGUUGGUGGGGUAAUGGCCUACCAAGGCGACGACGGGUAGCCGACCUGAGAGGGUGAUCGGCCACACUGGGACUGAGACACGGCCCAGACUCCUACGGGAGGCAGCAGUGGGGAAUAUUGCACAAUGGGCGGAAGCCUGAUGCAGCGACGCCGCGUGAGGGAUGACGGCCUUCGGGUUGUAAACCUCUUUCACCAGGGACGAAGCUUUUGUGACGGUACCUGGAGAAGAAGCACCGGCCAACUACGUGCCAGCCGCCGCCGUAACAC